rnacentral:lncRNA from 1 species
CCCGGGUCCGCCCGCCCGCGGGCCACGCGCGGCGCCCGCCGCCUCCCCGCAGCCCAAGGCCUGCACGCCCCAGCUGUGAUGUUCCAGAGUUACCCGACCCUCAGUGGAAUGGGCUGCUGAGGGUCAGGAGUGCAGGGAGCUGGCUGGGGAAAAUUUGGAAGAAGAGCGUAACAAAGGUCAAAGUCAUCAGACCUAGUCUAGUUUUCUACAGGAUUGAAAAUUACCAAUUAUUCUCAAGUUUCUGCUAUUAGCGACCAAUGUUUUCCAUCUGAAACAGACCCCUCCUUUUUUAAAAAAGGAAAUGCACAAAAAGGAAGCAAACUCUUCGAAAAUUCUGAUUGUUUUGCAUCCCAGCAGCAAAUAAAAAUCAUCAAUAGAACUCACUCUUAGCCUUGAGCAAUAUUUUCUAAAACAAAACACAAAGAACCUGUGGUAUUUAACUAUUCUGUUAUUGAUUUACUGUGGUUUCCAAGGUAAUGUUGAAGAAAAUUAAAUGUACAGAAGC